CUAAAAGAGCAGCGAAGCCGCGAGGCGGAGCAAAUCUCCAAAAAAUGUCUCAGUUCAGAUUGCAGGCUGCAACUCGCCUGCAUGAAGUCGGAAUUGCUAGUAAUCGUAGGUCAGCAUACUACGGUGAAUACGUUCCCGGGCCUUGUACACACCGCCCGUCAAACCAUGAGAGUUGGCAACACCCGAAGUCGGUAGUCUAACCGCAAGGAGGACGCCGCCGAAGGUGGGGUCGAUGAUUAGGGUUAAGUCGUAACAAGGUAGC
rnacentral:rRNA from 1 species